rnacentral:rRNA from 1 species
GUUGCCAGCCCGCUCAAGAAACUUAAGGAAUUGACGGGGGCCCGCACAAGCAGCGGAGCAUGUUGCUUAAUUCGAGGCAACGCGAAGAACCUUACCUGGGUUUGACAUGGUAGGAAAAGCCACAGAGAUGUGGUGUCCUUUUGGGCCUACUGCAGGUGGUGCAUGGCUGUCGUCAGCUCGUGUCGUGAGAUGUUGGGUUAAGUCCCGCAACGAGCGCAACCCUUGUCCUAUGUUGCCAGCACGUAAUGGUGGGGACUCGUAGGAGACUGCCGGGGUCAACUCGGAGGAAGGUGGGGACGACGUCAAGUCAUCAUGCCCCUUAUGUCCAGGGCUGCAAACAUGCUACAAUGGCUGGUACAAAGGGCUGCGAAACCGCGAGGUCGAGCGAAUCCCAUAAAGCCAGUCUCAGUUCGGAUCGGAGUCUGCAACUCGACUCCGUGAAGCUGGAGUUGCUAGUAAUCCCGGAUCAGCAACGCCGGGGUGAAUACGUUCCCGGGCCUU